GAUGAACGCUGGCGGCGUGCUUAAUACAUGCAAGUCGAACGGAGACUGUAGCAAUACUGUCUUAGUGGCGAACGGGUGAGUAACGCGUUGGUGACCUGCCCCGAAGAGGGGGAUAACAGUCCGAAAGGAUUGCUAAUACCCCAUGUGGUCGUUUGGAUUAGAUGCCUUACGACUAAACGGAUUUAUUCGCUUCGGGAGGGGCCUGCGUCCCAUCAGCUAGUUGGUAGGGUAAUAGCCUACCAAGGCGAUGACGGGUAGGGGACCUGAGAGGGUGGCCCCCCACAAUGGAACUGAAACACGGUCCAUACACCUACGGGUGGCAGCAGUAGGGAAUAUUGGUAAUCUGGGAAACCGGGAACCAGCAACGCCGCGUGCGCGAUGAAGGCCUUCGGGUUGUAAAGCGCUUUUUAAAGGGAUGAGGAAGGACAGUACCUUUAGAAUAAGCCUCGGCUAACUACGUGCCAGCAGCCGCGGUAAAAUCAUGUGUA
rnacentral:rRNA from 1 species